GGGGCUAUAGCUCAGCUGGGAGAGCGCCUGCCUGCACGCAGGAGGUCAGCGGUCGAUCCCGCUUAGCUCCACCA
rnacentral:tRNA from 1 species